rnacentral:rRNA from 1 species
GACGAACGCUAGCGGCGUGCUUAACACAUGCAAGUCGAGCGGGAAACUUCGGUUUCCAGCGGCGGACGGGUGAGUAACACGUGGGCAACCUGCCUCACAAUGAGGGAUAGCCCUCCGAAAGGAGGAUUAAUACCUCAUAACACAAGAGAAACGCAUGUUUCCCUUGCCAAAGAAUUUCGUAGUGAGAUGGGCCCGCGGCGCAUUAGCUUGUUGGUGAGGUAACGGCUCACCAAGGCUGCGAUGCGUAGCCGACCUGAGAGGGUGAUCGGCCACAUUGGAACUGAGACACGGUCCAGACUCCUACGGGAGGCAGCAGUGGGGAAUAUUGCACAAUGGAGGAAACUCUGAUGCAGCAACGCCGCGUGAGUGAUGAAGGUCUUCGGAUUGUAAAGCUCUGUCUUCUGGGACGAUAAUGACGGUACCAGAGGAGGAAGCCACGGCUAACUACGUGCCAGCAGCCGCCGUAA